rnacentral:rRNA from 1 species
GUGUCAGCCGCCGCGGUAAUACAGAGGGUGCGAGCGUUAAUCGGAAUUACUGGGCGUAAAGGGUGUGUAGGUGGUUAGGUAAGUUAGAUGUGAAAUCCCCGGGCUUAACCUGGGAACUGCGUUUAAAACUGCUUAACUAGAGUAAUGUAGAGGGUAGUGGAAUUUCCAGUGUAGCGGUGAAAUGCGUAGAUAUUGGAAGGAACACCAGUGGCGAAGGCGACUACCUGGACAGAUACUGACACUGAGACACGAAAGCGUGGGGAGCAAACAGGAUUAGAUACCCUGGUAGUCC